AGAGCGAACGCUGGCGGCAGGCUUAACACAUGCAAGUCGAGCGGGCGUAGCAAUACGUCAGCGGCAGACGGGUGAGUAACGCGUGGGAACAUACCUUUUGGUUCGGAACAACACAGGGAAACUUGUGCUAAUACCGGAUAAGCCCUUACGGGGAAAGAUUUAUCGCCGAAAGAUUGGCCCGCGUCUGAUUAGCUAGUUGGUGAGGUAACGGCUCACCAAGGCGACGAUCAGUAGCUGGUCUGAGAGGAUGAUCAGCCACAUUGGGACUGAGACACGGCCCAAACUCCUACGGGAGGCAGCAGUGGGGAAUAUUGGACAAUGGGCGCAAGCCUGAUCCAGCCAUGCCGCGUGAGUGAUGAAGGCCCUAGGGUUGUAAAGCUCUUUUGUGCGGGAAGAUAAUGACGGUACCGCAAGAUAAGCCCCGGCUAACUCGUGCCAGCAGCCGC
rnacentral:rRNA from 1 species